rnacentral:rRNA from 1 species
AACGAACGCUGGCGGCAGGCUUAACACAUGCAAGUCGAACGCACUCUUCGGAGUGAGUGGCAGACGGGUGAGUAACGCGUGGGAACGUACCUUUCGGUUCGGAAUAACCCAGGGAAACUUGGGCUAAUACCGGAUGCGCCGGAAACGGGAAAGAUUUAUCGCCGAAAGAUCGGCCCGCGUCGGAUUAGCUAGUUGGUGGGGUAAAGCCUACCAAGGCGACGAUCCGUAGCUGGUCUGAGAGGAUGANCAGCCACACUGGGACUGAGACACGGCCCAGACUCCUACGGGAGGCAGCAGUGGGGAAUAUUGGACAAUGGGCGAAAGCCUGAUCCAGCCAUGCCGCGUGAGUGAAGAAGGCCUUAGGGUUGUAAAGCUCUUUCAGCGGGACGAUAAUGACGGUACCCGCAGAAGAAGCCCCGGCU